rnacentral:rRNA from 1 species
UACGUAGGGCGCAAGCGUUGUCCGGAAUUAUUGGGCGUAAAGAGCUCGUAGGUGGUUUGUCGCGUCUGUCGUGAAAGCCCGGGGCUUAACUCCGGGUCUGCGGUGGAUACGGGCAGACUAGAGGCAGGUAGGGGAGAACGGAAUUCCCGGUGUAGCGGUGAAAUGCGCAGAUAUUAGGAGGAACACCGGUGGCGAAGGCGCCGCUCUGGGCCGAAACUGACGCUGAGGAGCGAAAGCAUGGGUAGCAAACAGG